GUGUCAGCAGCCGCGGUAAUACGGAGGGGGCUAGCGUUGUUCGGAAUUACUGGGCGUAAAGCGCGCGUAGGCGGACUGGAAAGUUGGGGGUGAAAUCCCGGGGCUCAACCUCGGAACUGCCUUCAAAACUAUCAGUCUGGAGUUCGAGAGAGGUGAGUGGAAUUCCGAGUGUAGAGGUGAAAUUCGUAGAUAUUCGGAGGAACACCAGUGGCGAAGGCGGCUCACUGGCUCGAUGCUGACGCUGAGGUGCGAAAGCGUGGGGAGUAAACAGGAUUAGAUACCCUGGUAGUCCACGUUUUAAACGAUGAAUGCCAGUCGUCGGCAAGCAUGCUUGUCGGUGACACACCUAACGGAUUAAGCAUUCCGCCUGGGGAGUACGGUCGCAAGAUUAAAACUUAAAGAAAUUGACGG
rnacentral:rRNA from 1 species